rnacentral:rRNA from 1 species
ACCCGUUGAUCCUGCGGGAGAUUGCUGCUAUCUGGAUUCGACUAAGCCAUGCAAGUUCAGGCUCCGCAAGGAACCGGCAGAAUGCUCAGUAACACGUCGCUAACCUGCCCUUAGGUCGGGGAUAACCUUGGGAAACUGAGGAUAACACUCGAUGGGGGAUAAGAUUUGGAACAAUCUUUCCCUGAAAGGCAACGCCUAAGGAUGGGGCGGCGGUCGAUUAGGCUGUUGGUGGGGUAACGGCCCACCAAACCAUAGAUCGAUACGGGCCAUGAGAGUGGUAGCCCGGAGAAGGACCCUGAGGUACUGGUCCUAGCCCUACGGGGUGCAGCAGGCGCGAAACCUUUACAAUGCACGAAAGUGUGAUAAGGGAAUCCAGAGUGCUCAUGCUUUGCAUGGGCUUUUGCCAAAGGUAAAUACUUUGGCGAAUAAGUGGUGGGAAAGACUGGUGCCAGCCGCCGCGGUAACACCAGCGCCACGAGUGGGGAUCGCUUUUAUUGGGCCUAAAGCGUCCGUAGCCGGUUGAGUAAAUCUCUUGUGAAAUCGUUCGGCUUAACCGAACGGCGUGCAGGAGACACUGCUCAACUAGGGACCGGGAGGGGUCAGAAGUAUUCAGGGGGGAGCGGUAAAAUGCUAUAAUCCCCUGAGGACUACCGGUGGCGAAGGCGUCUGACCAGAACGGAUCCGACGGUGAGGGACGAAAGCCAGGGGAGCAAUCCGGAUUAGAUACCCGAGUAGUCCUGGCUGUAAACGCUGCGAGCUAGGUGUUGCAUAUUCUCCGUGAAUGUGCAGUGUCGAAGUGAAGAUGUUAAGCUCGCCGCCUGGGAAGUACGGUCGCAAGACUGAAACUUAAAGGAAUUGGCGGGGGAGCACCACAAGGGGUGCGGCGUGCGGUUUAAUCUAACUCAACGCAGAGAAUCUCACCAGGGGCGACGGCAGAAUGAAAGACAGUCUAAAGGGCUUUCUUGACGAGCCGAGAGGUAGUGCAUGGCCGUCGUCAGCUCGUGCCGUGAGGUGUCCUCUUAAGUGAGGCAACGAGCGAGACCUGUGCCUACAGUUGCCAUCGAGUCCAUCCGGACGAUCGGGCACACUGUAGGGACUGCCCUGGAAACAGGGAGGAAGGUGCAGGCUACGGUAGGUCUGUAUGCUCCGAAUCUCCUGGGCUACACGCGCGCAACAAUGGUCGGGACAAUGGGAUGCGACCCUGAAAAGGGAAGCUAAACCUCGAAACCCGAUCCAAGUCCAGAUUGAGGCUUGUAACUCAGCCUCAUGACGAUGGAAUCCCUAGUAAUCAGGUUUUAUCAUAGCCUGGUGAAUAUGUCCCUGCUCCUUGCACACACCGCCCGUCAAACCAACCGAGCAGGGUUCGGAUGAGUCUUAGCUUUUUGGUUAAGCCGAAUCCGAGCUCAGUAAGGUGGGUUAAGUCGUCACAAGGUA